rnacentral:lncRNA from 1 species
UGUUGUGUCAUUUAUCAGAUCAGGUUUCUUUUUGUUUGUUUAGAAAUGUGUAUUGUUCAUUCAGUGCAUAUUACUGACGUGAUUUAAGCCCAAAAAUGACAUAAGAUCUCCGGAGCUCUACAGCUGGAGUGUUUUGAAGCUUUAUCCCACAGUCCUGGAGGAACAGGACCAUCUGAACUGUAGAAGAAUGAAUUCCGUCUCAUACUAAGUGUUCUCCUGCUUCUAGAAUUGACACCCUCACCUGACUUAAGUUUGUCUCCACAAACAACUAAUCAGGACAUUUCACAAAUAUCAGUCUUAAGCUGCUGAAAGAGGUUAAGCACAAAACAUCCAAAGUAAUUCCCAGUACCUGCACAAGUUAU